UAGUGCACUGGAAAAACUAAUUCGUAGAUCAACAUAUUUAAAUUCAAGGCAGAAUUUACGCUUUAGUAAAAUGUGUAGCUUAUACGUAUUAAUAUUAGAUUAAGUUUGUAAAUGUACGCAUUUCUGUUUAACGAGUUUAACAUAAACUUGCCAUUAUUUACCCUUUAACUUUUUGCUGAACUUACAUAUUUUACAAAUUCUGCCUUUAAUUUAAAUACAUCGAUCCAUGAAUUCAUUUUUUUCAGUGUGUGCUUUUGGCUGUGUCUUUCUACACACUACUCCCUUUUCUAACAAUCCCUUGGCUAAAAAAAAAUGACUGGAGUUAAUUAGUUGCCGAUGUCUGACCUUGGCUCCAACAUGUAUGGCAUAACUCCAAAAAAAACAUGGCGUCUUUCAUCUAGGACAUCAUCCCUGAUAAUUCAACAGAAGUGGGUUAAAGCAACAGUUAGAAAUCCCCUGAUUUAAAAAAAGUGCUCUUGUCAAACCCGUCACUGUUCUCCAUAUUUAGAUAAUUCACUAGGCUACUGUCAAGUUUUGUUUAGAUUCAGCGGAGGUUUGCCGUAUCUCGAAUACUAUUGGCUGUUGUGUAAAUGAGUCAGCACUUCAACAUGCUAUCACUCUGACUUCUUGCCUCAAAAGCUAUUACAUCAACAUAUGAAAUGAAUUUCAUGGGAACUUUAAGUUAAAAGAGCUCAUCUACACCCUUGAAACUUUGGAACCCCAUGGAAUGAACAUCAUGUUUUGACAACUAUUAAAUCAUUAUGUAGGAAGGAUAUUUGUCUGAAACAUCCUGUUUCUCCGGAAAAUUUCAACAUAAUGUGUCUUAGUAAAGUGUUGGUCCACCACGAGCCACCAGAACAGCCUUAACGCUGCCUGGUAUAGAGUUCUGGAACUGUACUGGAUCCAUGAACACCAUUCUUCCAAACCAUAGUCCCUCAGUUGGUGUUCUGAUGAUGAUGAUGAUAGACCUGUGUAACAUCACUCCAAAAUUUCACUGGGGUGAGAUCUGUCGACUGUGUCGGCCACAGUGCGUGAGUUACAUCAUUUUCAUACUCAACAGACCAUUCAGCUAGUCCUCAUCAUCCUGGAAGAGUCCACUCCCAUCAGGAGAGGAAUAUUUCAUCAUAGGAUAAAGGUGAUUUGUGGUGAACCUUCUCUCUACUUACUUACUGUCCACUUUAUUACAUAUGCCUUACUUUGUUCAUUCACUUUGUGGGUGAACAGUUAGAAGUUAACUUUCCACACAUGCUUUAUUGUUAAUUAUUGUCUAACCCAUCAUCGGUGUCACUUUCUGACCACAAAUGAGAUAUUUUGCUCUUGGCUAGACCUUUUUUGGUUGGUGGCCUGUUUCUCGAUCCAUCAGCUUCACUGAGGUGUUUAAAAACCUUGACAACAUUGUUCCUCUUCAUACAAUUCACUUGUCACCUGAUAGUAUCACGUCUGUGUUACGACUCUGUUGAUAAUAGUUCAUCACCCAAAAUAUUAUGUUCUCAGCAGUGGCCCUUGUCCACUGGCAGACGGGAUACAGGAGGCUAACAAACUGCAUAGCAUAAAUGUAUAGACAGGUAGAUAGAUACUCGUCAUGCUUCUCAUCUCGUAGAUGGCUGACUAGCCGACCCGAGUCUCUGCUAUGACUCAACGUAUAGCUGUAUUGCUUUCUGGAGACCCUGGAGGCUGAUGUUUGCUGUGCCCACUAGGUCUAUGUUGGAUUUCUCAUUAAUAUGACAUUGAAUAUUGCUGGAGGAUGGUGAGUGAGAAAAGAAGCUCUCACUAACAGCAAAACCGAAACCAUUAUUGCCCCUCAUGUUUAUGGUGAAACACCAUUGUAACUGUGCUACCAAUGUCCCCCUGUGACAGACAACCAUUAACUUACAGCCUCUACCAACAAACCAGCACUAGAAUUAUUAAGCCCAAGACAAAUAUUUCAGGAUAAACAUAUUUAAUGUUUCAGGGUGGAGUUUUCCUUUAAAACUGGAAAGCAGUCUCAGGAUCAUUUUGCAGAAUUCUUGAACUUUCCAUGUAUGACUUUAACCCCCUGUGCUAUCUAGGAAUGCACUUUUACGUACAGAUCUCAGUGAUCUCACUUCAGGGCUCACUUCAUUGCAUUCCUCCACUGCCAUUUUGCAGGAUUCAUGGUAGAAUAACAGGUUAAGUUGACUCUAAGGAAGAAAGCGCACUUGUUGAUAGCAGUGGUGCAAAAAAAAAAAAAAAAACUCCAAACGUCACCGUCUGUUUUUUUUUCUUUUCUUUUUCUAGAUGUUUCACAUGAAAUCAGGUCUCAGUUUUUCUAAUUGCGACGCAUAUCAUGUAUUCGAGAGGAGCCUGCUGAACUGGGCAGGUGACGUCAGAAGUGGGCAGAUGUGCGCGCGACGCUCUUCCAGGCACGUGCGCUCGUUGACAACAUUUUAUACCAGGUGAUUUUUUUUUUUUUUUUUUUUUUUUUUUGUUUGCUUUUAUAGCCUUCUACAAGACAAUAACUAGAGAAUUUUCUCCACACGAAGAGCGCUGGUGAGCUUCGGCACCCGGAAGCCUGCUGAUUUUAUUUUGUCACAUGGCUCCGAGAUUUUCAAUAACAACAACAAAAAUGGCGACAUAUCACGUUGCGUUGCUCGAUGUGAGCUUGCUGCGUCAUUAAAAGAUAUUCCCGUAAACACAAGCGAGAAGCAGGAAAGAAAGCCAGAUAGGUUAGGUGAUAUUAGGUCAUUUUGGCAGCCACUGACGCCGUCUCGUGACAGCAAAAACCCCGACGAGCUGAUCGACUUGUUUACAAGAAGAGAUUUGCGCGGAGGGAGGGGCGCGAGUGGGCGGAGCUUUGCCGAGCGGCAAGGCGAGUGGACGAGCCGGAGAAGACGCGCCGCGGAGGGCGGAGCCUACAGGAUAAUAGCAAGCUGGACGUGAAAGAGGGCGGAGGGGUUUGUAUGAGGUAUCUGUUGGAGUGCUGUUUAACUGUUGACGCAUUAGUCUUAUUUUUUGUGAUACUUAAAGUCUCCGAAUAAUAAUAAUAAUAAAAAAAAAGACUUUGAGAGCUUGAGUCAUUAUAUGUAUCUUGGAAAUAUUUAAUUCAUUUAUUUAGUAAUCCAUGUCUAAUUAGUGGUCUGUAUUGACUAGAGAAUUGUCUUUACAACAUAGAUCCAUGAUCAUGAUAUAAUAAUAACAUAGUAACACAACACAACAACCCUGAUUAAAUAAUAGCUUGAUAAUAUUUUUUCUUUCAAUGUUUAUUCUGAGUGUGUGUAUCAUGUCACUGCUUUAUUUAUGUUGUGCUUCUUAUGUUCUGUUUGCUGCUUAACAAUGAAUAAUGCCCAUGGCUCAUAUUAGCUUUGGGUAGCUGAGACAGAAAACACCAUGUUAAAUAACCACCUAUGAAUACAGCUUUGUUCUUGGGGAACAGUAAAAAGACAAAACCACUUCUCAUGCCUGGGGAUGUUCCUGUUAGAAAGUGUAUGUAAACAGGUAUGUGUGGAAACAAGACAGGGAGGUAGUAUAAUAGAGGGAAUUCACUUAUUAGUUUUAGUUAGCGUGAAAAGCAGUUGAUUUAUACUUCACCACUUUUCGUUUAAUUCUCGAAUCAAAAUGACCUGUGUAAUAUAAAUAUAAAGUGGAUUUGUACUGUUUCAUGUUAUGUACAGGUAAUGGAUCAAACACAUUAAGUUUCAUGUUGAAAUUUUUUUUCUAGUAUGGUAAAUAAACUUUAAAUAAACAAAAAAUUAAAAUGGGAAAUUCUGACUUAAACAGAACACAAGGAUUAAAUACAUUCUGUAUGAAAUAUUCUACUUUUUAAAUGAAAUAAGCACAGUAAUUCUGCAUUUCUAAAAUGUAUACUUGGACUUUCUUCUUUUUCUCUUUUGAAUUUUUAAAUAUUGAAUUAGUUUACAUUCACUUUAAUCCUGUCUACAGAGGUAGUUUGUUAUUUCCCGCAGUCGUAUGUCUCCUGUGCGUAAGUAUGAUUUCUCAUGAUGUUUUCAGUAUGGCUGAAGGUAAGGUAUCUGAUGGAGAGGACGGACCGGACUUGGCUCUUCUUGAUGUGACAGGCUGCCCUUGUUCAGUUAUCACAGUGCUGAUGCUGUCCGUCUUAAAGGUACAGUACUGUGAUAACUGAAGGAUGGCAGCCAUCUUGACAUCUGGUUCUUGUGAAGAAGCCUUUCCUAUCUUAACAAGUUCUGAAUGGUUUGAUUGUUGCUAUUAGUUAUUAGAAUUAGUUAACCUAAACUAAAUCUGAAACGUAGUCAUUUCUAAUACUGCACACAUUCUUUUGUAUGUGGUUUCAGUUGAAUUCAAAAAUACCAUUCUGUAUUGCUAUGCAGAUGUAAAAUAAAAGGCUUCAUACUGUCA